GGCCCAGAAAAGAAAGUUUACGAGAGUCCAUGGUCUCCUAGGUGGUUUAAACUGCUGGCCAGGAAACGUGCCUUCUUGAUUAUACAUCUCUUGCAAAGCAUCCUUUUCUUGGUAAAGCUUAUGAAGCCAGUUUGCAGCUUCCUUUUCAUCUUGAGGGAUAUCUUCCAGAGGAAAUCUCCUUACACACAUAUCUGCUUCAUAUUUCUUUCCAUAGAGAAUUCCUAAUAAAGAAGGGUUCUUGUUUCCUCUGAAAUUUAGUGUUACAUCAUACACUGCUGAAACUGUUCCCCUGAGACACUGGACAGCAGUGGUGAAACCUUUGGUUCUGGGCAACAGGUGGUACUUCAGUUUGGGCAGCCCCUUGGAUUCAGCUACCUCCAUACUGAUACGAUGCUUGGUCUCUGUAAAACGAGUUCCUUCACAAUACAGGAGAAACCACAUGUAUUCAGGAUAGUCAGCCAAACGUUUUAAUCCCUCAAUAACUGUAUCUCUGUCUUCUUCCCAUUUCCUUUUGCAGAAAACAAUCUCGAGGAAGUACCAUGUCCAGCCAAUUAGGGGCACAUACAGUAGCUCUUUCUUAGCAAGAACUUUGGAACUCCCCAGCACUCCAAAGCGCUCCGUCAUAGUCCAGCCACACAAGAAGUCAAUUUCAAAGUUGUGAUUCAAGAUGAUGAUGACAUGCUCUUUCCCAAAGGUAUUCACUGUAGCCUCGUCGGAGAACAAGGUGCACUCUGUGCCCGACCACCAUUCCAGCAGCAUUACUAACUGGCUCCAAAGUGAAUAGGCAAGGCGACAGUUUACUCGGCGAUAAAACUGCUUGUUUAUGGGCCAGAGGACUAGUGUGCAUAGUUGAAUGAAGUUAAUGAUCAGUCCACUCACAACAAAGACGAACCCAAUGAGGAGGUGAACAAUGAACUGGGUCUUCAGAAAGGCAAUGAAGCCCAUGAUAACCACUCAGAAGCGUGUGCAAGGGCCGUCACUCAGAAUAACUGUCCUGCGGUCCCCGCCGCCUCCUCGGGAAGAGCCGCCCGCGCCCGGCUCAGCCUCCGCCUGCUGCUGUCCGCGCGGCCCCCACGGCGGCGGCGGGCUGCCUGUACGCGCCGCGGCCCUCGGGAGGCGGGGAAGGGGCGAGCGGGGCGGGCGGCGGCGGCGGCGGCUCCGGCAGCCUCUCUCAUGGAGUGCGGCAGCCCCAGCUGUCGCCGCCGCUGCUCCCCGCAGCCGCUACUUCCUGUGCGGCGAUGGUUCAGUUCCUCCCGGGCCGCUGGGGGCAGGAGAGCCGGGCGGCGUGGAGCGGAGGAGGAAGAUCGGGGCAGAGCGCGGGGCUGCGGUGCCGCAGCUCCCCCCGCUACGCACUGGAGCCGGCGCCCCAGCCCACCCCGCCGCCCGAGCCCCCUUCCCCCGACGCGGCCGCAAGGGGGCGCCACCGCUCCCGCCCCGCGGAGGCCGAUGGCGGCCGCGCUGAUGGGAGCGCGAAGGCGGCAGCGCGAGGGAUCGAUAAAGGAGAUUCUCCUCAGCGCAGGAAACCGCUGCGUAACGCUGUGAAGAAGUGAGGGUACCGGGCUGGAGCUGCAGGGAGGAGAAGCGCUAAAGGACGCACCUCUCUUGCGUGCCGUGCAAGGGACAAGCCUAUGAAGCCUUCCAGACUAGAACACCAGGAUCUGAAGUUACCUUUCUUUGUGCCGACGUGUGUUUUGACUUCUGAAGCUGAGGAGAGCUCGCAGCUCUCAAAGCCCUGUCAUCAAAACUGUGUGUGGUCGUCGCCUCUGGAAAUCGGUUCACCCCACGUGGAUCCACAAUGCAGGUUUUGCGUUAGGCAGCGAUACUGGAGAGCAGCAGCCAGAGUGCACCCGGGGUCAUGGGAAUAAAGCAGCCGCUCCCCUCAGCGGUCAUGGAGAGACCUCGGGGGGAAAACCGUUUUUAUCGGCUACUGAGGCUCUGAACGCUCCUCUCUUUCCCUUGCGCUCUGUGGCAUUCAGACCAUGCUAACUCGACCUACUUUAGAUACCGCUCGCUGAGCUUUUCCAAAUGCUUAUGUUCUGUGUUUACUUAAGGUGCUAUUAAAUCCUUUAUCGGCUGUUUUACUGUUGCAGGAUUCGCUCCAGCCGUGUGCGAAUUCCAGUACGAGGCAGAGGCUCUGCUCGAGGUCAGGUGUGUGUGGUGCUUUCCAUCCUCCCCUCUCCAUGCCUCCCCCAGCUCAGCCUCUCCCUGCCAGCUCUGACAGCCCUAUCUAAUGCUGCUCAGCCCAUGCCGGCUUGUCCAAUCACAACACCUUUGGCUGCUCUCCUGUCCUGCUGUAUCUUUAGAGCAGGCUGCCAUAAACUCGGGCAGCCCUGGCAGCUUCCUGAAGAGCAUCACAGGUGAUUUCAGACCCCUGCGUGUACCAUUCCCCUGAGGGUCCCAGUGCUGAGCCUCAAUUUGCCUUCAAGUUACCAGCUUCCUGGUUUGGCACAAAGAGAAUAGGGGUAUCGCACAUUAUGCAGCUUACAUUUUUCCCUAAAAGAGCGUUUACUAUACCUCACAAACCUGUUUCCGAACAAGAAAUGAUCACUCAAGGAAAUGACCUAAUAGAAGCAGCUCGCCACAGUCUAUUGUAAAAACAGAGCGGGACACAAUUCCUCCAAGUCAGGAUCAUUUUCAGAUUGUAUUGCUAGCAGGAAGUCUAUUCAGCUUGACUAACCAGUUCAUGGUCCACUCAACUUUUAACUACAGAAUAGAGCAAACAUCCUACUUCUGUUACAUAGUAGUGGUUCUUCUGUGCAGUGUUUACCCGCUUGUAACGUAAUGUAAUGCAGUCUCUGCUGAAGUCUGCCUAAGUAUCGUGUAUAGAACAAUCAAAUUAUGAGAACUGAAAUCUGAAAGAAGGAGAUAUAUUAGCCUGAGAGAUACAGAGAAACAGGGGAAAGAAAAUAACAAAACUAGGAACAGAAAUGGUGAAUAGAGAAAUAUCAUGAAAAAAGAAUAGUAGUAUCUGUAAAGAAUGCCAAGAAGUUUAUUUCCACCUCCCUGCCCAACUGCAUUCUGACAUCUCACUGGCAAGUAGUGUCUUCUCUUCCUGAGUUACUAAGACAGCUCUGUAAAGAGCUGACCAUUACCCUGGAGUGACCAUUACCCUAUUUACCCAUUAUUAUCCCCAGGCUUAAAAUGAGCUGUUCUACAAAAGCAAUGCUCACUCUGUGCAUGAAGCAAGAUGCCAAAUAAAGCAGUAUUCACUUUUUCUAUUGAGCAAAAAAAUACUUGAAACUUCAACAUGGUUGAAACCUGUUUAAGAGUAUCGGGAAAGCAUCUAUUUCGUAUCACCCCAACUGGUCUACAGCGUCUGCUGGAAAGGAAAGUUUUCACAUUGAUCCUCAAUUGUCAUUUUUUUUUCUUCUGAAAAUAUGAAUAGAAUUAUGAGAUACAGACUUUCUCUCCGUUUCAAGAGGUAAUGGGCUUAAGUGUGUCAGGGAAGUUCAGAUUGGACAUUAGGAAACAUUUCUUUUCAGAAAGAGCGGUGAGGCAGUGGCACAGGCUGCCCAGGGAGGUGGUGGAGUCACCGUCCCUGGAGGUGUUCAAGAGCCGUGUGGAUGAGGCACUGAGGGACGUGGGCAGUGGGCAUGGUGGGGAUAUAUUGGUGUUUGGAUUAGAUCAGGCAUGUCCAACCUGUGGCCAAACACAAUUCACAAUGUGGCCACCCUCUGUGUUACUGUGUUCAUUGUAUCUGUUGUAUUUUCCACAGAAAUAAAUUGUAGGUGUUACUUUCAGAGCAGCCUACUGAUACGCAGCCCUAGACAAUUCCUCUUCACUCAGUGCAGCCCAGGCAAGCCAAAAGCUUGGACAUCCAUGUUCUAGAUAACCU
rnacentral:lncRNA from 1 species